rnacentral:rRNA from 1 species
CCUACGGGAGGCAGCAGUAGGGAAUCUUCCACAAUGGGCGAAAGCCUGAUGGAGCAACGCCGCGUGAGUGAAGAAGGAUUUCGGUUCGUAAAACUCUGUUGUAAGGGAAAAGAACAAGUACAGUAGUAACUGGCUGUACCUUGACGGUACCUUAUUAGAAAGCCACGGCUAACUACGUGCCAGCAGCCGCGGUAAUACGUAGGUGGCAAGCGUUGUCCGGAAUUAUUGGGCGUAAAGCGCGCGCAGGUGGUUUCUUAAGUCUGAUGUGAAAGCCCACGGCUCAACCCGUGGAGGGUCAUUGGAAACUGGGAGACUUGAGUGCAGAAGAGGAUAGUGGAAUUCCAAGUGUAGCGGUGAAAUGCGUAGAGAUUUGGAGGAACACCAGUGGCGAAGGCGACUAUCUGGUCUGUAACUGACACUGAGGCGCGAAAGCGUGGGGAGCAAACAGGAUUAGAUACCCUGGUAGUCCACGCCGUAAACGAUGAGUGCUAAGUGUUAGGGGGUUUCCGCCCCUUAGUGCUGCAGCUAACGCAUUAAGCACUCCGCCUGGGGAGUACGGUCGCAAGACUGAAACUCAAAGGAAUUGACGGGGGCCCGCACAAGCGGUGGAGCAUGGUGGUUUAAUUCGAAGCAACGCGAAGAACCUUAC